UACGAAGGGGGCUAGCGUUCUUCGGAAUCACUGGGCGUAAAGGGCGCGUAGGCGGCUGUGGCAGUCGGGUGUGAAAGCCCGGAGCUCAACUCCGGAAUUGCACUCGAGACGCCAUGGCUGGAGGCCGGAAGAGGAGGGUGGAAUACCCAGUGUAGAGGUGAAAUUCGUAGAUAUUGGGUGGAACACCGGUGGCGAAAGCGGCUCUCUGGUCCGGACCUGACGCUGAGGCGCGAAGCGUGGGGAGCAAACAGG
rnacentral:misc_RNA from 1 species